rnacentral:rRNA from 1 species
CGCGUAGUGGUUUGAUAAGGGUGUGGUGAAAGCCCGGGGCUCAACCCCGGGUCUGCCGUGCCGACUGUCAAACUCGAGGACUGUAGAGGCAGACGGAAUUCCGGGUGUAGCGGUGGAAUGCGUAGAGAUCCGGAGGAAGACCGGUGGCGAAGGCGGUCUGCUGGGCAGCUUCUGACACUGAGGCGCGACAGCGUGGGGAGCAAACA